UCUCUCUUUCUCUCGAUUUGUUGCUCUGUUUUUUUGGGCCUUGCGGGUCAGACUGUGGUUGGGCUCUUUAUGGCUUUAGUCAGUCGUCUGCUCCACUUUAUGCUCAAUUCACAGUUAGUUACUUUCUUAUUUUUUUAUAGAUAAUUUCAAUUAGUUACUUUCAUUUCUAUUUUUUUUUUCAUUUUUUAGCAAAUUACUUUUAGUAAUUUUUUUUUACCGGUAGACUGCUUUGACCUUAUUGAAUUUCCUCGUGGGGACCACUUGUCUUCAUGACUCUGUCCGAAGAAUCUGGACCGUAGAUGCUUUUGAUCCGAAAAUCAGGAAUUAAUUUUAUUCUGUGCGCAUGUUGGUUCCUACUUUUUGAAUAUGCGUCGUUCAUCCAUGUGAACACCUAUCAAAAGUGGCUGGGGAUCCCAGUCGCAGAUACUCUGUCCCAGCCUUUGUCCCACUCCCGAAUGGACGAUACCAGUCCAAAUGUAAUUUAUAGAGAUUUUGUAAUUAGAUAAAUUAUAUUUGGAUAAUUGUCAUUUAGUGGGGUGGGACAGGGGUGGCACAGAUUAUUUGGGACAGGAGAUCCGGACUCAUCAAAAGUCUCCAUUCCGUACCGCCUCUCACCCCAAAUUCACGGCCCGCGUUUCACGCUAUCACGAACGCACUUUUCAAGUUUCACCGGACCCUGUUUGGUUAUGAGAAGUUGAACCAAACGCCCACGAAACAAACUAACCAUUUUGUUGGAUUUAAUUACGCAGUGUGC
rnacentral:lncRNA from 1 species